rnacentral:rRNA from 1 species
GUCAACGGCCAUGCCACCCUGAACACGCCCGAUCCCGUCUGAUCUCGGAAGCUAAGCAGGGUCGGGCCCCGUUAGUACUUGGAUGAGAGACCACCUAGGAAGACAGAGCAUGCAUAGAUA